rnacentral:lncRNA from 1 species
AUUAAUGGAUGAAACAAAAAGAAAUAAUAUGUCAUCCACUAGUAGCAAUUGGCUUUGUAAAACAGAUGAAUAACUCUUCUUGCCUUUUUUUUGUUUUAUUUAUUUCUUAACUUCCAGAUGUGUUCCUAAAAUGGCAGAAUCUAUCUGAAGAGAUCUGUAGUCAGGUAUUCAAGACAUCUGACUCUGGUAGUGGUCAGGAUGAGCUACUGAUCCCAGACACUGAGCUUCAGAGAAUAACUACGCUAGGAUAUGACGAAGUGAUGUUUGUUCAUACCCAUUACAGCCAUUUGAAUGAGCUCCUGUCUGUAUCACGAGAGCCACAGACUCAACAGGACAUAACAAAAAGAACCCCUCCACGUCACCUUGCUUCUGGUGUCAUAUCAGCUGCCGUCCGCGUUGCCUCCAAGGCCCAAAGUGUCCCUGUGGCUGUACAGUACACCCUUUCCUCAUCAAACUUGGUACAGCCCAUUGUUUCAAACCAUUUCUUUGCUCUGUUGCUCAAGACUAGUAGCCAUGUUUUUCUUAAGUCGCUGUCCUCUGAUAAACUCUGCAAGAAGAGCAUGUCACCAGAGAGGAAUUCUUCCUGCUAACAUCCCGUGGCGUUUGUCCAUCUAAUUUCUGGCUGACUGUAGUCCAGAGUAAUAUAUCAGAUAGACGUAGAAAGACUAGGAAGUCCCCAGCAAACAUGUGUUUUUGAUUGUAGGUGGAGUAUUCACAUCGAGCUUCUCCACUUUGUGCAUUUUGGAAUUUCAGCCUCAUGUAAGUUUGACCAACAGCACAAACUAACAGUGGUAUGAAAUGUUUGGAUAUAGUGCAUACACAGCAUGUGGGUUUGUGCAGGCAUAACAAUACCAGCGGCUGGUCCAGUGAUGGCUGCAGUGUGAUCUUUGCCAGCUCUCGUGCCACUUCCUGCAGGUGUAAUCACACUACCAACUUUGCAGUACUUAUGAAUUAUCUGGAUCCACAGGUAACUGAUACGAUGCUUUAUAAAGCCAAGAGUAUUUUCACAUAUUAGAGAUAGAGAUUUCACAAGGAAAAUUUUAAGCUGUAGGUUAGUUAGAUUUAAACGUUG